CUACCUAUUUUCAAUACUCAGUUCUUGAUCACAAAGGUGGUUUUCCCAGGGUGAGGCUUAUCCAUUCAUUGCACUACGGAUGUGCUGACCCUUUCGAUUUCCCCAAAUGUGGGAAACUCAGCUGCAUAAUUUGUGGUACUGGGGGGGACUGUAUUUGCGCUCUCCCUUA
rnacentral:snRNA from 1 species